rnacentral:lncRNA from 1 species
UUACAAGGAGGAAAAUAACUGCUGAUUUCACUGCAAGGAAUGGUCUGCUGCAAUUUUUUUUUUGUUUGAAACAGAAGAAUUCCUUCUCACUUUCCUGAUGUCUAUUUUUUCCACAUGUUAAUAUCCCUGAAAGUGGGAUGCAUCUUAAAUCCAUGGCAUUGAACAAUUGCUCUUAGCAAAAUGUCAGUCACAGCAUAAUUGUAAUUAUCUAUGCAUGUGUGUGAUGUAUAAACUUUGUUAUAGCUUUUAAUAUUAUCCAGGUUUCAACUGAAUUCUGUGCAUUGUUGUUAUAUAUUAGCAUCUUCGUGUAUUUAAGUGCUUUUCAACUGUCUUUUAUAAGAUAACUGUAAGACAGAUCCUUGAAUGUUCCUUGUCCGACCCAGUUCUUGCAACUUUGGAGCAGAAUGUACCAAGAAUGUAACUCCCCGAAAUAAAGAAGAACCCUCCAGAAUAGCUUAAGAUUUUUCCUCGUCUCUCCAAGAAGAGGAUGUUUUGCAACACUUGAACUCAGGAAACCAAGUUGCCUUCAGGAUAUAAAACCCAGAAGAGUGGGAUUUUGAGGCUUUUACUUUGAUGCAAAUUGGGGCACAUGCAGAUUGAUUUCAUCCAUUUUGCACAACUCUCCUGAACCAGGGGGAAUCAGCUCACCAUGGAGUCCAGGUUUCUGUUAAUCCCUGCUGCCUAUCUUUACUGACAAUGUUGAAAUUUACAUGAGCCCUGUAAUUCUGGAAAACAGCUAUGGAUAAAGAAUUGCACCACCACUUUCAUUUUCUGGAAAAUGACACCCUUCCUGGCUUGUGACUGGCAGACAAAAGGCAAGUUCGUAAUGAAAACAGGAAGUAGAAGGUAAACAGAGUGCUUGAGGCAAGAUCCAAAUACUCCCUAAAGUCAGAGAUUUCAGAAAAUGUUAUUUAAUACAGGUUGGCAUCAUUGCAGUAAUCUCUGGAGUUACCCACAUCCUGGAACUGAUCUCUUUUUGUGUAUAGGAUUCAACAGUACCACUACCCUACCAUGUCUGGCUACAAACUCU